rnacentral:rRNA from 1 species
UUCCGUAGGGUGAACCUGCGGAGGGAUCAUUACCGAGUUUACAACUCCCAAACCCCUGUGAACAUACCUAUACGUUGCCUCGGCGGAUCAGCCCGCGCCCCGUAAAACGGGACGGCCCGCCCGAGGACCCCUAAACUCUGUUUUUAGUGGAACUUCUGAGUAAAACAAACAAAUAAAUCAAAACUUUCAACAACGGAUCUCUUGGUUCUGGCAUCGAUGAAGAACGCAGCAAAAUGCGAUAAGUAAUGUGAAUUGCAGAAUUCAGUGAAUCAUCGAAUCUUUGAACGCACAUUGCGCCCGCCAGUAUUCUGGCGGGCAUGCCUGUUCGAGCGUCAUUUCAACCCUCAAGCUCAGCUUGGUGUUGGGACUCGCGGUAACCCGCGUUCCCCAAAUCGAUUGGCGGUCACGUCGAGCUUCCAUAGCGUAGUAAUCAUACACCUCGUUACUGGUAAUCGUCGCGGCCACGCCGUAAAACCCCAACUUCUGAAUGUUGACCUCGGAUCAGGUAG